rnacentral:lncRNA from 1 species
CCAAUAAUCAUUAUUAAUUGACUCCAAAACGUAACAAUAUCCAUACAAAAUCGAGAUCCAGAAUUCUAAAGUAUAUAAAAAUUCAAUAUAUUUCCCAAAAAAAUAAUAAUAAAAUAAAAUUAUAUAUAUAGUAGGGAUGUCGACGAGUUGAGCCGAAGCACCUUGUGAGCCGAAACUCUCGACUCAAGUAAAAUGUCCGAGCUUUUUUUGGAGCUUGAGCGGGAAAAGCUCGACCAAAAAAAUUAGACUCGACCCGAACUUUCAACUCGAGUCAGCAGCUCGAUUUUUUUUUCUUUUUUUUAAACAUAGGCAGCAGCGUGCUGCCUUAUUUCAGUAAAUAAGGCAGCAACCCGCUGCCUCAAAUGAAAUAAGGCAGCAAAACUUUCAACUCGAGUCAAAAGCUCGAUUUUUUUUUCUUUUUUUUAAACAUAGGCAGCAGCGUGCUGCCUUAUUUCAGUAAAUAAGGCAGCAACCUUAUUUGAGGCAGCAGGUUGUUGCCUUUAAUUAAUUUUUAUUAUUAUUAUAUAUAAAGGCCGAUUCGGGCUUUUUCCAGGCCGAACCACAUGUAGUUCGAGCCAGCGAGCUCCAUUGCCAUCCCUACAAUGUAGUUGCUGAAUAAUAGUUCUCCCAUAUACUUGGAGACUCUUUCACCUAGGAAAAUUAAAAAAUAUAAAUUAAAU